GUUUUACAGCAAUAUCUCACCAAGCUCAGCGAACGCACCGUGGCUUAUAUCAACGUGGAUGUUGCCGUUCAAGGCAACGCUUCUCUCCAAGCAUCAGGAAUGCCAUCGCUACAGAACGUCGUCUUCAAAGCCGCCAAGCAGGUCAAGGCUCCUGGAGUGGAUUCCAUGUCUGUGUAUGACAAGUGGAUCCGCUAUGCGAAUAGAACAAGCCCGGUCUACGGACUCAUUCCCAGGUGUUGC